rnacentral:rRNA from 1 species
AGAGUUUGAUCCUGGCUCAGAACGAACGCUGGCGGCGUGGAUAAGACAUGCAAGUCGAACGAGAGAAUUGCUAGCUUGCUAAUAAUUCUCUAGUGGCGCACGGGUGAGUAACGCGUGGGUAACCUGCCUCGUACAGGGGGACAACAGUUGGAAACGACUGCUAAUACCGCAUAACCCGCUAGAGUCGCAUGACUCAGACGGAAAAGAUUUAUCGGUACGAGAUGGACCCGCGUCUGAUUAGCUAGUUGGUGAGGUAACGGCUCACCAAGGCGACGAUCAGUAGCCGGCCUGAGAGGGUGAACGGCCACAUUGGGACUGAGACACGGCCCAAACUCCUACGGGAGGCAGCAGUGGGGAAUAUUGCACAAUGGGCGAAAGCCUGAUGCAGCAACGCCGCGUGAGGGAAGACGGUUUUCGGAUUGUAAACCUCUGUUUUCGGUGACGAACAAAUGACGGUAACCGAGUAGGAAGCCACGGCUAACUACGUGCCAGCAGCCGCGGUAAUACGUAGGUGGCAAGCGUUAUCCGGAAUUACUGGGUGUAAAGGGAGCGCAGGCGGGAUAGCAAGUCAGCUGUGAAAACUAUGGGCUCAACCCAUAGACUGCAGUUGAAACUGUUAUUCUUGAGUGGAGUAGAGGCAAGCGGAAUUCCGAGUGUAGCGGUGAAAUGCGUAGAUAUUCGGAGGAACACCAGUGGCGAAGGCGGCUUGCUGGGCUCUAACUGACGCUGAGGCGCGAAAGUGUGGGGAGCAAACAGGAUUAGAUACCCUGGUAGUCCACACUGUAAACGAUGGGUGCUAGGUGUAGGUGGUAUCGACCCCAUCUGUGCCCGAGUAAACACAAUAA